CAGGCGGUUAUGCAAGACAGAUGUGAAAUCCCGGAGCUCAACUCCGGAACUGCCUUUGAUACUGGCAAGCUAGAGUCCGGAAGAGGUGAGUGGAACUCCUAGUGUAGAGGUGGAAUUCGUAGAUAUUAGGAAGAACACCAGUGGCGAAGGCGGCUCACUGGUCCGGUACUGACGCUGAGGUGCGAAAGCGUGGGGAGCAA
rnacentral:rRNA from 1 species